rnacentral:rRNA from 1 species
GUGGGGAAUUUUGGACAAUGGGCGAAAGCCUGAUCCAGCCAUUCCGCGUGAGUGAAGAAGGCCUUCGGGUUGUAAAGCUCUUUCGCAAGGGAAGAAAACUUAGUUACUAAUAUUAACUGAGGUUGACGGUACCUUGAUAAGAAGCACCGGCUAACUACGUGCCAGCAGCCGCGGUAAUACGUAGGGUGCGAGCGUUAAUCGGAAUUACUGGGCGUAAAGCGUGCGCAGGCGGUUUUGUAAGUCAGAUGUGAAAUCCCCGAGCUCAACUUGGGAACUGCGUUUGAAACUACAAGACUAGAAUAUGUCAGAGGGGGGUAGAAUUCCACGUGUAGCAGUGAAAUGCGUAGAGAUGUGGAGGAAUACCAAUGGCGAAGGCAGCCCCCUGGGAUAAUAUUGACGCUCAUGCACGAAAGCGUGGGGAGCAAACAGGAUUAGAAACCCCUGUAGUCC